AAAUUGAAGAGUUUGAUCAUGGCUCAGAUUGAACGCUGGCGGCAGGCCUAACACAUGCAAGUCGAACGGUAACAGGAAGCAGCUUGCUGCUUUGCUGACGAGUGGCGGACGGGUGAGUAAUGUCUGGGAAACUGCCUGAUGGAGGGGGAUAACUACUGGAAACGGUAGCUAAUACCGCAUAAUGUCGCAAGACCAAAGAGGGGGACCUUCGGGCCUCUUGCCAUCGGAUGUGCCCAGAUGGGAUUAGCUAGUAGGUGGGGUAAAGGCUCACCUAGGCGACGAUCCCUAGCUGGUCUGAGAGGAUGACCAGCCACACUGGAACUGAGACACGGUCCAGACUCCUACGGGAGGCAGCAGUGGGGAAUAUUGCACAAUGGGCGCAAGCCUGAUGCAGCCAUGCCGCGUGUAUGAAGAAGGCCUUCGGGUUGUAAAGUACUUUCAGCGGGGAGGAAGGGAGUAAAGUUAAUACCUUUGCUCAUUGACGUUACCCGCAGAAGAAGCACCGGCUAACUCCGUGCCAGCAGCCGCGGUAAUACGGAGGGUGCAAGCGUUAAUCGGAAUUACUGGGCGUAAAGCGCACGCAGGCGGUUUGUUAAGUCAGAUGUGAAAUCCCCGGGCUCAACCUGGGAACUGCAUCUGAUACUGGCAAGCUUGAGUCUCGUAGAGGGGGGUAGAAUUCCAGGUGUAGCGGUGAAAUGCGUAGAGAUCUGGAGGAAUACCGGUGGCGAAGGCGGCCCCCUGGACGAAGACUGACGCUCAGGUGCGAAAGCGUGGGGAGCAAACAGGAUUAGAUACCCUGGUAGUCCACGCCGUAAACGAUGUCGACUUGGAGGUUGUGCCCUUGAGGCGUGGCUUCCGGAGCUAACGCGUUAAGUCGACCGCCUGGGGAGUACGGCCGCAAGGUUAAAACUCAAAUGAAUUGACGGGGGCCCGCACAAGCGGUGGAGCAUGUGGUUUAAUUCGAUGCAACGCGAAGAACCUUACCUGGUCUUGACAUCCACGGAAGUUUUCAGAGAUGAGAAUGUGCCUUCGGGAACCGUGAGACAGGUGCUGCAUGGCUGUCGUCAGCUCGUGUUGUGAAAUGUUGGGUUAAGUCCCGCAACGAGCGCAACCCUUAUCCUUUGUUGCCAGCGGUCCGGCCGGGAACUCAAAGGAGACUGCCAGUGAUAAACUGGAGGAAGGUGGGGAUGACGUCAAGUCAUCAUGGCCCUUACGACCAGGGCUACACACGUGCUACAAUGGCGCAUACAAAGAGAAGCGAUCUCGCGAGAGCAAGCGGACCUCAUAAAGUGCGUCGUAGUCCGGAUUGGAGUCUGCAACUCGACUCCAUGAAGUCGGAAUCGCUAGUAAUCGUGGAUCAGAAUGCCACGGUGAAUACGUUCCCGGGCCUUGUACACACCGCCCGUCACACCAUGGGAGUGGGUUGCAAAAGAAGUAGGUAGCUUAACCUUCGGGAGGGCGCUUACCACUUUGUGAUUCAUGACUGGGGUGAAGUCGUAACAAGGUAACCGUAGGGGAACCUGCGGUUGGAUCACCUCCUUA
rnacentral:rRNA from 1 species